rnacentral:lncRNA from 1 species
GAAUACUGAUGUAUACGUUUAAAAUUCAUAUGGACACAGAAACGCAGGCACACACACGCACACAUACUCGCUAACACACACAGACAUAUAUCUUGUCUUCGUUCCUAUAUAGUCCAAACACCUUCAGACACACACGGACGCAUAUUUAUCCUCAACGUAUCAUACGAUGAAGAUGGCUCUAGUAAUGUCACCUUUCCGAUUAUCAAUAUUAUUAAUCUUCACAUCUUUGGCUGUCCUGGCUUUCUCCAAGAAUGUUAUACACGACCAAACUGAAGUUCUCUCACUCAAUGCCGGAGAUGUUGACAACAUUGCAAUUACCAAUAAAAAAUGCGUCUG